rnacentral:pre_miRNA from 1 species
CAGGUAUUGGAAAAAGCACGUUGAACUCCCUAGACAAAUGUACUUUUCCCAAUGCCGGGG